rnacentral:rRNA from 1 species
CAGCCGCCGCGGGAAUACGUAGGGUGCGAGCGUUAAUCGGAAUUACUGGGCGUAAAGCGUGCGCAGGCGGUUGUGUAAGACAGGUGUGAAAUCCCCGGGCUUAACCUGGGAACUGCGCUUGUGACUGCACAGCUAGAGUAUGGCAGAGGGGGGUGGAAUUCCACGUGUAGCAGUGAAAUGCGUAGAGAUGUGGAGGGACACCGAUGGCGAAGGCAGCCCCCUGGGCCAAUACUGACGCUCAUGCACGAAAGCGUGGGGAGCAAACAGGAUUAGAUACCCCGGUAGUCCCUGUCUCUUAUAC